UACCAGCCCCCUGAGUGGUAUGGACGAUUAUUUGGCCUAAAGCGUCCGUAGCCGGCUCAGUAAGUCUUUCGUCAAAUCUAACGAUUCAAUCGUUAGACCGCGGAAGAUACUGCUAGGCUAGAGGAUGGGAGAGGUCGACGGUAGUCCUGGGGUAGGGGUGGAAUCCUAUAAUCCCAGGAGGACCACCAGUGGCGAAGGCGAUCGACUAGAACAUGCCUGACGGUGAUGGACGAAAGCUGGGGGAG
rnacentral:rRNA from 1 species